rnacentral:snoRNA from 1 species
ACUGCAUGAUGGGGACACUUACGAAUGAAGUCUUUAAGUCUUUCCCAUGUCUCAUGAAAUUGGUCGCCAUCAAAUUGUUAGAAACUAGUGAUGGCAUGCCUAAUUU